rnacentral:rRNA from 1 species
GAGCGGAUGAAGGGAGCUUGCUCCUGGAUUCAGCGGCGGACGGGUGAGUAAUGCCUAGGAAUCUGCCUGGUAGUGGGGGACAACGUUUCGAAAGGAACGCUAAUACCGCAUACGUCCUACGGGAGAAAGCAGGGGACCUUCGGGCCUUGCGCUAUCAGAUGAGCCUAGGUCGGAUUAGCUAGUUGGUGAGGUAAUGGCUCACCAAGGCGACGAUCCGUAACUGGUCUGAGAGGAUGAUCAGUCACACUGGAACUGAGACACGGUCCAGACUCCUACGGGAGGCAGCAGUGGGGAAUAUUGGACAAUGGGCGAAAGCCUGAUCCAGCCAUGCCGCGUGUGUGAAGAAGGUCUUCGGAUUGUAAAGCACUUUAAGGUGGGAGGAAGGGUUGUAGAUUAAUACUCUGCAAUUUUGACGUUACCGCCAGAAUAAGCACCGGCUAACUCUGUG